AAUUAGACAUUUUUUGUUUCAGACUUGGUUCCUAUUGAUGAAAACGAAAACUUUGAUUUUGACGAAUAUUGGGAUUACAAACUAACACCACACAAUCUACCUCUUUUAAAAAGCUCAAGACAAAACUAUUUGGUUUCAGCAAUCUACCAAUAUGAAGAAGAUCUAGCAGUAUCUUCCCUUAAUGAUGAAGAAGAAAUAUCAAAUAAUAGAUUGCCGAAAAAAA
rnacentral:lncRNA from 1 species